rnacentral:rRNA from 1 species
GACAGAGGAGCCAAGCGUUGUCCGGAUUGACUGGGCGUAAGCGCACGCAGGCGGGUGCGCGCGUGGGUGUGAAACCUCGGCCGCUUAACGGCCAGCGGCCAUCCCAUACGGCGCGCCUGGAGCCUUGCAGAGGGCGGUGGAAUUGCCGGUGUAGUGGUGAAAUGCGUAGAGAUCGGCAGGAACACCCAGGGAGAAAUCAGC